ensembl:lncRNA
AUGUGGAUUUCGGUUGGUGAGAUGUUUCCACGGCAACCCGGCUGGAGCGGCGCGCGAACGACGGUUGAACAGCGAAUUCAGGGCAGCGGUGUAGAAAACAAGCUCACCCAGAACGUCGUGUUACGAUUAGCUACCAUUCAGUGGAGGGAAAGGGCCUCCAGCUGCUGCAACUGUUCUGCUGUGAAGCUCCCGAAAUGUUUUGUGGAUUACAUAACUUCACCUGACUGUCCAUCAACAUGUGGGUGCUCCCGGCCCUCCCAGACCGAAGGAGCCUUCGCUCUGCAGCCGGGAAUUCUGGGUGUUGGCGUUCCGCUGCGGCAGUGGACUGCCUGCGUCACCGAGACUCUGGUUACCGUGAACGCCUGAACUGUGCUGCUGGAGGACGCUGUGGGCGUGCUCGAUUCGGCCAGGGUGUCUAACCUGCUCAGGCUGGUAGGAGAGCGGAGGAGGUGGUCCGGACGAGGCGUACUCUCCCAGUGUCGGGGUGCCGGGAGUGUUGGGGAAGUCUGUGAACGCCGUUUGGCUGGAGAAUCCCUGGCUCCCUAUGAAGCCAAAAGAAAACAUUUAUUACUUCCAGUGAGCAAAUAAAAACAGGUCAGUGUAGACGGACUUUGUUUUCUCUUAUGUAAUAGAGACCAGCUGUAAGAGGACAUAUGCAGGGGGAUGGGACUCACAGGUCUUUGCUCUGCUGCCUGAAAUACUGUUCUGGGUCACCGCCCAUCAAAGAGCUGAUGACCUUUUUAACUGAGCAACAAAGUCUGAUUGUGUACAGUAUGUGUGCAUAUUACACACAAUAAAUACAGGACCAGUGGAGAGGGCUUACACCAGGUUUAAAAAUAUCUUCUGUACCUCAAAACACCAACAAAACAGUCAACAUUUUCUCUCUUACAUUGAAGAUCUAAUAUCUCUUUAGGGGUGCAUUGAUUCUCCAAACCCAUGAUUUUAUCUUCAGUUUUAUGGUCACGAUUCGGUAAAAUGUUUCGAUUUAAAACUCUUGUAAUGGCCGUGAUAGAGCUGUGGGAGCUGAUCGUGGCCGUUCUGGACGAUGCUGAGGCGUGUAAAUCUGUGCAGAGCAGAUCAAGCCAGACAUUCUUUUUGAGGUGCACUUGAACACACCAUGACAAACCUGUCGCUGCAUAUAUCAUUUUACCGUACAGAGCAGAGCAGAUUUCAGAGUUUAAGACCUACACCUGAAUGCACCAUGAAGUUUCUAUGAGAGUGAGAUCCAUCAUUAUGUACAAAAUUAUGUAUGCCCUCCUUUGGAGCUUGGCAGACUGUUUACAACUCAGACAUAUUCUUCUAACGACAUUUGCAGAAAACAUGACGCCUCUGCAGCGCAAAAGUACUUCAUUAUGAUGAUUACGAUACUUUACACAUUUUAUCUUUAUCAAAACUGCAGCUUGGAUAUUAGAUUUUACACUCCAUUUCGAUAAUACUUUGAUGAAUUGUGCAGCUCUACUUCGAUCUCACCACUAACUCUCACACAGUUUCCCUCUGGAGUGUUGACUCUACCUGGCCUGUUGUAGUCGGGGGUGUUUCUGCCCCCUGCAGUCAUACUCUGGUAGGGCGACGACGCCGGACCCAGAGCGGCGAUCAUCUCCAUCACAUUAGGCAGCACCAUGUGACUCGGGCUGACUGUUCGGCAGCGUUUCAGGACCGGACCGUCGGGCUCCUCCUUUAUGUGCAGGUCUGGUUUGACGGGCACCGGCCUCCAACCACACACCGGGUCUAUGGUGAUCUCCUCGUAGUCCGAACUGAGAGAGAGGAAGACAAAGGAGGGUUACUGGACAUCAGACAGAGGAUUAGGUAUCACCAUAUUUACAUGAAAUCCACAUGUGAGCACUUACUUCUGGAUGUAGACAAGAAUCCCGAGCAUGUACUGGUCGACCUCGAGCCCCUCGAGCAGAGCGGUUUUACUGUGAACGACAGGAACAAGCUGCUGGUUACGUUUCACGCUGAGAACAUCUGAUAUUAAAACACGUGAUGAGACGUCGAUAUCGUACGUACUUGCACACCGGACAUCUCCAGGUCCCUCUUUCACAAUUCAGCUGCAAAUAUGACUCCAGGUCGAAACACUACAAAACAAAGACAUCAGUGUGAGAGUGAUUCACUUACAUGUACACUGUAGGUGCGUGUAUACGUGUGUGUGUGAGCGUACCUGUAUGUGUCUGCAGUCGUGACCUCUGGCUGGCAGCUGGAUUCGUCUGAACGUGAUCGGACAUUUGAGGGAAACUUUAAUUGCCGUCUGCUCGACGCCGUCCUCUCCGUUCAGACCGGGGGUCCCAGGGAUGGUGCCGCUGCUGAAAUUUCUCUUUACUGAAACAAAAAGAUAAAAAAGGAGGCAGAAUUACUUUACUGCUGACAUAACCCCAUAUAUCAUGUUGUCUUUAGAGGGUUUUUUGUCCGUCGUUAAGCUUCUUCCUGAGACAAAGUUGUUCUGAUUCUGGAGAUGUGUUAAACUUGAUGAUACUGUAAAAUAUGACAACUUUAUAGAAAAGGAGAGCGGUCUAAAUGUGGGUCUUAAAGGAAAAUGAGUUUGCUUUUGAGUAUUUUAUCCAUUUCAUGUUCAUUUAGAGGAUAUUUAGAUCAAAUGACGGUGGCUCACUCUUAGUGAUGCAGUGCUCUGCAGGCAGGAGCCUCUUCUUCAUCAGACCCUGCAGGACAGACCUGACAGACGGCCGGUGAACCAACUGCAACACAAACAGGUGGGACUACGGAGAGAGAGGAGGGACAAAAUGAGUUUAAAAUGAGAUCUUAAUACAAGAUAUAUAAAUGUGUUGUAUUCUAGGAACGCCAGAGAGGAGGGACACUUACACAACAGCAGGCCGUUACUGUGAUCUGUACCGUGUUACGUCCUGGCUGACACACUUGCUUCAGGUACAAGGGCUUGUGGGAAGUUUUGUUGUCGCCUCUUUCGAUGCACAGAGGAGUCGCGUUGACACUCACCUGAAACAGAUACAGAAAAAACAGGUGAUGAUUUUUCUGACAGUCAGUCUGAUCAGAAAGCCCUUAAAAUACCCAUAAAUAUUAUGAUAAUUGUAAUUCAGAAGGAAGAGUUUCAUGUUAAGGCUGGUGAUGAGGACUUACUUGCACUGAUGCAGGCCAGUUAGUGUUCAUCUGUCGGUCCUCGUGGUGGUAACACUUGAACUGCAGCUCCAGAUCAGGCCUGCAGGGGGCGACACAACACAAACCAUCAGGGACAGACUGGGUGGGGUUAUCAAACAUUCCUCAUUUGUUUUUCCUCAUCUGGUGCUUUUUAAAAUCACUCAGGAAGAGGUGUGCUGCUCUGAAUUCACACUGAAGCCACAUAAUAUGUUACAGAGGAAGAUAACACAACGAAAGACACAUUUUGUUGAUGAUUUUGUUGAUUAAACACCAGAUGAUGUUGAAAAUCAAGCAUUUUUCAAGGAGUAUAUUCAAACUGAAGCAUAUUCUGGACAUAAAGGUUUAAAUUAAGCAUUUUCCAUUCUUCCAAGACUCUGUUUUGUUUUUGUUUUUUUUACUAGGUUUUUUAAUCGUCCAACAAAGAUACGAAACAGGAAACACAGGAUAUGAGAGUGUGAUGGAGCGUCUUUGUACCUCAUCAUGAGUGUUUUGUAGACGGAGUCUCUCAGCUGGAAGGCGUGGUUACUGACGGCCAGGUUGUGCUCCAGUCUGAACGGCUCCAGCACGAUGCCGUCUCGUACUGGGAACGUCAGACGCAGGUCGUCGCUCGGGUUACCUGGACAAGAAAAUUGCUUUUAGGUCGUUUUCACUGCACAGUAACAAAAAGCAUUGAGACAGAGAGCGUGCUUCCUGAUGUGUGUUCACUGCAGAGCGUCUCACCUGUGGAGACCUGCUGGGUGUUGAUGUUGGGUUUGAUGUCCGGGGGAAGGUAGGGGGGUUUCGUGUCCUGGCCUGGGGACAGGUAGGGAGGUAUGGACGUCCCAGGUGUCAUCGGCGGCGUGGGAUUCCCUCCCAUCGGAGAGCUGGGAUACCCGGGCAUCACUCCACCCCGACCUGGCUGAGAGACGACGAAUGACAACGAGUGUUUAGAACUUCAGAGUAUCUCAUUAAACAUCCGA